ACCGGCACUCAGCGCCGUGAGGGUGUGGCUGCGAGGAGGGCGGGCCGGGACGCGCUGUGCCCGGAGGGAACCCGCAUCUCCGCUCUGGGGUCACAAACACCGCACGUUUGUGCAGCUGACGUUGUGCGCCGGCUUCCAGGACGCAGCGUCUUACUGAUACAAGACCUCUCGGAUAGAUACUGUACUGUUUUCCUUGAGGGUAAAGCAGGCGUAGAUGGCAUGAGUGAGUGGCCUGCAGGCGUUCAGCAAGCAAGGCAAUCUUGGAACAUGGAGCUGCUUUUAAAAGAGUGUCCUCUGAUUAUGAAAAGCUGGAUUUUCAGAAUAACUGCUGGAGUGGACUCUUGAUCCAGGUGUUUUGUUUUACUAUUACAUCUGCAUUGCAUCACACACAGCAGAGGUGGGAUCUCCCCUCAGACUGGCUGGCUGUGAGGCUCAACCCCAACCUUGUUGUUCAAGCUGUUGUGCAGGUGCUGACAGAACAAAACAAAACAAGGAACAAUACAAAAACAUACAGAAGACCCCCAACAACAACAAAAACAACCACAC